CUACUUUUCAAGAAGCGCCUCUUUUUCCCUCUACUUCCUCUCAACCAAACGAAUCCCAAAAGGAAACCUAUCCAAUUUCUUCGACUACCCCUUACAAUUAUUCCUUCUCUUCCUUCCUUCUUUGACGUCUCCUCACUAGCACUUCAUCUCUCUCUCGUCUUUGCUCUAUCUCAACCAUCGAUCAAUAUAACGAGCAUGCCAUCUUUCUAACCACAGCAUCGUAUCACUGGUCUUUCUUUCGGGAGCAUAUCAUGCAGUGUCACUGUUCGAAGAAAUGCCUAACUAACUCUCUUUGUUGUUUUGGAUUUUAGUGGUCGCUGACUGAUGCCACUUUGAAUCGUUGAUUGUAUUGGAUUCAGCAACAAUUUGCUAGAAGUAGGGCACUGUCUUAUGUCAUUAGUUGACCUUGAAUCUUUUCUCUAUCAUUUCAUGAUGCUUGACUGAAACCUGUAAAGCUAACUUUGGUAGAGAUUAGGAUUAGUCUGCUUCUAUGAUUCUUUGGGUCAGUGAAGUGCAUGAAAUUUACUUUGUUAAUAUCCAUGAAAAGAGAAACUCUGUCUUUCACACCCUGGAAGCUCUUGGAAUCAUCCAUCAACUCCAUCCAGGCGAGAGGAAGCUUAAUUGGUGAGCCGGCAGGCCAGAAGUUGCAGAAAGGUUCAGACCAUCUUGCACUGCACAUGAGCCAUCCCUCCAGCUCCAUCUAGUGCUAGUAUUUCCUACCUUCUCUCUAAAAUGUCUUGAGGCUUGCUACAACUAGGCAGUCACAUAGGCAACCAUACAUAUUAAGAAAGGAACUUGCUAAUCUCUUGACCAUAAAAUUGCUACCUCAAUCUUACUAAACCAAAGCAGCUGCAUCUAAAUUUUACUGUCACAAUAUUGUAUAUGCAACUUAUUGUGUCCCUCAUUAUUGCGUAGCAGAGAGCUGGAAUCCUCAAGCUGUAAAUGACCAGUUAUCUUGUCCAGAUUAACUUAUGACUUUUGUGAGCGUAUUGUGCUUUAAUUCAAGCUUGUCGGUUGGGAGCAUCCAUGGGGGUAGUGACAAGAACAAAGUAGAAGAUGGACAUUGCCUGACCGAUAAAGAUGUGAUCAAGUUAAAAAAAUGUUAAGAUGAAUGGGGAACGACUGGAACUGACAGAAGCCGUUGUGCAUGUUCAGAGGCAUAAAACUUGUACUUUCAUGUAGAUCACCACCUGAGAACCAUCUUGCCAGGCAUUUUUACUUUUAAAGCUGCACAAAAACUUUCAAUAUUUAAUUGGUUGCUUGGUCACCGGGUCAAGCAGCUCUCCUAUGAAAAAUUGAUCAAUUCCUGGAGAACUGUGGUGAAUGCUUGUUUCCAAUAUCAUCAUAUUUCUCAGCACCAAUGCAUCCUGGUCUCUUUCCAAAAUGUAGAAUCUUGCAUGGCGCCUGUUCAGAUACUAGGCUUGUCGUCAGUUGAGAUCUCUUAUUCGGGCCCAUGUUCUUCAAGCUGCUUGCAGCUAAGAAGAAACUUAACAUCAGCAGAUACUGAAAAUAAGUCUGGCUCAGCUUCCUGUGGGGGAACUUUUGUAUAUGUUGGUGAUGUGCCCUCAAUGGCAUAUUCCAUUAAUCCAUUCAAUUAUCAGCAAAUCAGCCUCUAAAGGCAUCAAUUAUUUUCAGUGCACAUUUACCAUAUGUAUUGUAGAAGGGUUUGGCUUGUGCCUUCCACAUAUCUGCAACUUUGGGUUUAGUAAAUAACUUGCCAGUAAGUCAUAAUGCUGUCCAUCUACUUUCUGAAAAUUGAUAAAACCAAUCAAGCAUCAUGGUUC